rnacentral:rRNA from 1 species
AGGACACGCUGGCGGCGUGCCUAAUACAUGCAAGUCGAGCGGGGAUUAUGCUUGAUCGCUUCGGUGAGACGGCAUAUAUCCUAGCGGCGACGGGUGAGUAACGCGUGGGCAACCUACCCAAAGUCCGGGAUAACAGUGGGAAAACCGCUGCUAAUACCGGAUGGCUUUACCUGAGGGCAUCCUUGGGUAAAGAAAGGUUACGCUUUGGGAUGGGCCCGCGUCCCAUUAGCUAGUUGGUGAGGUAACGGCUCACCAAGGCGACGAUGGGUAGCCGGCCUGAGAGGGUGAACGGCCACACUGGGACUGAGACACGGCCCAGACUCCUACGGGAGGCAGCAGUAGGGAAUAUUGCGCAAUGGGCGGAAGCCUGACGCAGCGACGCCGCGUGAGCGAAGAAGGCCUUCGGGUCGUAAAGCUCUGUCCUUGGGGAAGAAGGCGAAAGCUUGACGGUACCCAAGAAGAAAGCCCCGGCUAACUACGUG